AUGAAGAUGAUCAAGUGUUUUGUGACAAUGAUUCAAGUCCUCUCUCUCGUGGUCUCCAAGGUCUUGACGCUCCAACACCAUCAAGAUGAAGACCAACGGUGCCACAUCUUCCACACAAAAGCCAGCAUCAACGGGCAUUCCAUGAAAGUCAUCAUCGACGGAGGAAGUUAUCACAACUUGGCAAGCGAGGAGCUAUGUUCCAAGCUCCAAUUGGUCAAGAAGAAGCACCCUCGUCCCUACAAGGUGCAAUGGCUAAGCGACUCCGGCACCAUUCAAGUGGAGCAUACGGUGCAAGUUUCUUUCAAGAUUGGCACCUACGAGGACACCUUGGAGUGUGAUGUAGUUCCUAUGUCGGUGUGCCACCUUCUCUUGGGAUGA
rnacentral:rRNA from 1 species